rnacentral:piRNA from 1 species
UAAUAAGCAGUAUACUGUGAAUGCAUGGA